GGCGUGCUUAACACAUGCAAGUCGAACGGAGCGAAUGAAAGCUUGCUUUUAUGAGCUUAGUGGCAAACGGGUGAGUAACAGUAGACAACCUGCCGAUCAGAUGGGGACAACAUUCCGAAAGGAAUGCUAAUACCGAAUGGUGUGCGGGGGAGGCAUCUCCCCCGCUGAAAGAUGGCCUAUACAUGUAAGCUAUCACUGAUUGAUGGGUCUGCGUCUGAUUAGCUGGUAGGUAAGGUAACGGCUUACCUAGGCGACGAUCAGUAGCCGGUCUGAGAGGAUGAACGGCCACAUUGGGACUGAGACACGGCCCAGACUCCUACGGGAGGCAGCAGUGGGGAAUCUUCCGCAAUGGGCGCAAGCCUGACGGAGCAACGCCGCGUGAGUGAAGAAGGUCUUCGGAU
rnacentral:rRNA from 1 species